rnacentral:rRNA from 1 species
UGGGGGCAUCUGCCCGCGAGCAAAGGUCCAUUCCGGUUGCGGAUGGGGAUGCGUCCGAUUAGGCAGCAGGCGGGGCAACGGCCCACCUGGCCUACGAUCGGUAGGGGUUCUGAGAGGAAGGUCCCCCACAUUGGAACUGAGACACGGUCCAAACUCCUACGGGAGGCAGCAGUGAGGAAUAUUGGUCAAUGGGCGCGAGCCUGAACCAGCCAAGUAGCGUGGGGGAUGACUGCCCUAUGGGUUGUAAACCCCUUUUGCGCGGGGAUAAACCGGCGGACGUGUCCGUCGCUGCAGGUACCGCGCGAAUAAGGACCGGCUAAUUCCGUGCCAGCAGCCGCGGUAAUACGGAAGGUCCGGGCGUUAUCCGGAUUUAUUGGGUUUAAAGGGAGCGUAGGCGGGAGAUUAAGCGUGCUGUGAAAUCCGGCGGCUCAACCGUCGCGAGCAGCGCGAACUGGUUUCCUUGAGUGCGCGGGAGGCAGGCGGAAUUCGUGGUGUAGCGGUGAAAUGCUUAGAUAUCACGAAGAACCCCGAUUGCGAAGGCAGCCUGCCGUAGCGUUACUGACGCUGAAGCUCGAAGGUG